AGUGAACGCUGGCGGUAGGCCUAACACAUGCAAGUCGAACGGCAGCACAGUAAGAGCUUGCUCGUACGGGUGGCGAGUGGCGGACGGGUGAUGACUACAUCGGAAUCUACUUUUUCGUGGGGGAUAACGUAGGGAAACUUACGCUAAUACCGCAUACGCCCUACGGGUGAAAGCAUGGGAUCUUCGGACCUUGCGCGUUUGAAUGAGCCGAUGUCGGAUUAGCUAGUUGGUGGGGUAAAGGCCCACCAUGGCGACGAUCCGUAGCUGGUCUGAGAGGAUGAUCAGCCACACUGGAACUGAGGCACGGUCCAGACUCCUACGGGAGGCAGCAGUGGGGAAUAUUAGACAAUGGGCGCAGGCCUGAUCCAGCCGUACCGCGUGGGUGAAGAAGGCCUUCGGGUUGUAAGGCCCUUUUGUUGGGAGAGAAAAGCAGCAGGUUAAUACCCCGCUGUUCUGACGGUACCCAAAGAAUAAGCACCGGCUAACUUCGUG
rnacentral:rRNA from 1 species